rnacentral:rRNA from 1 species
UACAGAGGUCUCAAGCGUUGUUCGGAUUCAUUGGGCGUAAAGGGUGUGUAGGUGGCGCCGUAAGUCGGGUGUGAAAUUUCGGAGCUUAACUCCGAAACUGCAUUCGAUAACUGCGGUGCUUGAGGACUGGAGAGGAGACUGGAAUUCAUGGUGUAGCAGUGAAAUGCGUAGAGAUCAUGAGGAAGACCAGUGGCGAAGGCGGGU